ACAAUCAGCCGUUUUGUAUAAAGGCAGCCACAUCCUUUUUCCCGUUCUCUUCUUCUUCAUCAUUAAUUCUUCCAAAAACCAUGUAAACACACAGUACCUCUCAUACACACAACUCGAUCGAGCCUCAUCUUUCGCAGCCAAGAAAGCCACAAAUCCUUUUCUUUCUCCAUGAUACUCUAGCUCAAAACCUUCAACAACCCCCAUUAAAAUCCCAUAAAAACACAGCUGAAACUUUGCUUCUAAAAAGUCCAGAAACGCCAGCUAAAAUGACUCCAAAGGCUGCUGAAAAACAGCCCCAAAACCCAGCGAAAAUCUGCUCGAAAAAACAGCAAAAAUUAGCCUGAAUAGCCAUAGUGAAAUCUGCUAAGAAGAGCUGCGAAAAUCAGCUUCGAAAUAGCCCGAAACACCGUCGCAAAGCUCUAAAACCAGCAGCUCUUUCACCACCUUUUAACAUCCAAAAACGAGCUUGCAGACAUCAUAAAAUCAGCAAGAAAAAGCCACUAUUGUUUGCUGAAAUCUGAGCAGAAAACAAUCCGGGAAAAGUUUUUUCCGACGAGGUCUUGUUUCGAGGUUCCGACGUGGUCUUAUGUUAGCGAGUCUGUUCGUUGUUAGCUUCUUCAGUGUGCCUCUGUAUACUUUGAUUGAAAGCUUAUAAAAGCGAAGGAGGAACAUUGGGAAGUACCUUGCGAGUUGUUUGCCAUUUGAAAGGGAGUCCGGCACAAGGUGCAUCACCCAUAUCUUGGAAAGUAAGAAACAUCAUAUGGUAUCUCGCUCAUCUAUAGAGGCAGAACAUCACUCCAUGGCGAUGGUGAUUGGUGAGCUAAAAUGGUUGAAAGGAACUUUAUCUAGUCUAGGAUUAGACUAUAAUGCUCCUAUUCAUCUUUAUUGUGACAGUCAAGCAGCAUGACACAUAGCCAAGAAAUCGGUCUAUCAUGAACGAACCAAGCAUAUUUAAGUGGACUGUCAUUUCGUUCGUGACGAGAUAGUCGGUACAAAUGCUCGUACCAGUUUUGUUCCUUCAAUGAACAAUUGGCGGAUAUCUUUAUAGAGACGUCAAAAAAAUCACAAGUUGGGCAUUCAAAAUCUCCAUGCACCAACUUGAGGAAGGUAUUAUGAAGCGCAUUGUGCAAACCGCAUAAUGGAUAUAUAAGCCGCAUAUUAACCGCAGAGUUAUCCAAACCUACCAGUUUCAUGGAGUAAUUUUCAAGCAAUUCUGCUUGGCACAGAACUGAUAUGCGACUCGCAUAACAGAUAUGCGAAUCACAAAAUACGAGGCGGUGUAAAUAUUUAGUGUUUGUAUUAAACUAGGAAAUUACGAUCCUUUGUAAUCUUUUUCAUAUUUAUUAGGGAUUUUAGGGUUGGUUGUUAACUUGUAUAUACUGUUCAACAUCAUUAGAAGAAGUAUGUUUUUCCUUCC